GACAUGGCCCACAAUAAAUACGGAUUUUCCAAUGGAUUUCUCAACUAUAUAUAUAUAUUUAGGGGGUCGUUGAUCCGAUUUCAGACAGUAUUACGCAUUACCCGCUUUCUCUAGAAAAUAAAACGGACUGCCCUUUUAUGGAUAUAACGGUACCGGGAAGGAAUGCUCCUGAGGAAGUGACUCGUGAGUCGCUUAUUGCCAUCUCUUACGAGGAACCAGAAACAGCUCUCUCUUCAAAGCGAUCAUCUGGAAAGCUUAGUAGUGAAAACCUCAAUCUGGUCAACGGGAUAGACCACAAUCAGGUGGAAGGGAAAGAGUACGAUGGAGAAGAGAAAUAUAGAUCAGAGCUGAUUGCUAUUUCCUUCCUUGAGUCACCACCUGAAAUUGGAAGUGUACCUGUGGCCGAACUCAAGGGUUAGUGCCUGGAUGUCAGUUAUAAUAGUAUACCUUCUUAUGUAAAAUGAUACGAAUCUAAGUUCAUGGACGCAUUGUUUCGACUGUAGAGCAAUGCUGUCCAUGUUCUUUGUUUUUGUAACGUAAACUCUCUGCACGAGUUGUUUGUCUGUACUGUCUUAUGGAAACUUAUUGCUGUGUGAGCCCAAUGAAUGAACUUGUGAACCCCUUGGUACUCAGCAUUCUUCUUUUACAUUUGUGUCACUCUUAAUGUAAUACCAUACAAUGGUGCCUUAAAUAUUGUAUA